rnacentral:rRNA from 1 species
UGGAUGCCCUGGCAGUCAGAGGCGAUGAAGGACGUGCUAAUCUGCGAUAAGCGCCGGUAAGGUGAUAUGAACCGUUAUAACCGGCGAUUUCCGAAUGGGGAAACCCAGUGUGAUUCGUCACACUAUCAUUAACUGAAUCCAUAGGUUAAUGAGGCGAACCGGGGGAACUGAAACAUCUAAGUACCCCGAGGAAAAGAAAUCAACCGAGAUUCCCCCAGUAGCGGCGAGCGAACGGGGAGGAGCCCAGAGCCUGAAUCAGCAUGUGUGUUAGUGGAAGCGUCUGGAAAGGCGCGCGAUACAGGGUGACAGCCCCGUACACAAAAGCGCAUGUGCUGUGAGCUCGAUGAGUAGGGCGGGACACGUGGUAUCCUGUCUGAAUAUGGGGGGACCAUCCUCCAAGGCUAAAUACUCCUGACUGACCGAUAGUGAACCAGUACCGUGAGGGAAAGGCGAAAAGAACCCCGGCGAGGGGAGUGAAAAAGAACCUGAAACCGUGUACGUACAAGCAGUGGGAGCACAGGUUUACCUGUGUGACUGCGUACCUUUUGUAUAAUGGGUCAGCGACUUAUAUUCUGUAGCA